rnacentral:lncRNA from 1 species
CUGUUUGAGCAAUAUAGAAAAGUAAGUCGCCGAGCCUUUCAUGGGAGCCAGUCUAGACCUCCAAUAGAGAUAAGAGCAGAUACAGAAAUAGGAACUCAAUUUCUCAAAUGACCUCAAUAAAUGAAGAGAGAUCUUCAUAUUCUGAAGUUAAUGCUAGCCUCUUCAUAUUAUCAGUUAGAUUUCUCAAUACAAAGAUAAUUGUCUCAUUUUCUGGAUGAGAACUAAGCUGCUUGAAACAUGGGGUGAUUGUACCAUGCAAUUCAAUGUUACUCCACUCAGGAGCUUGCCUUAAAACCAUGGCUUUUCUCCCACUCCAUCCCUCCUGUCCAUUGAACAAAACUUUAGCUGCAUCUGUAAAAGCAGAA